rnacentral:rRNA from 1 species
AUGAACGCUGGCGGCGUGCCUAAUACAUGCAAGUCGAGCGAACAGAUGAGGAGCUUGCUCCUCUGACGUUAGCGGCGGACGGGUGAGUAACACGUGGAUAACCUACCUAUAAGACUGGGAUAACUUCGGGAAACCGGAGCUAAUACCGGAUAAUAUAUUGAACCGCAUGGUUCAAUAGUGAAAGACGGUUUUGCUGUCACUUAUAGAUGGAUCCGCGCCGCAUUAGCUAGUUGGUAAGGUAACGGCUUACCAAGGCAACGAUGCGUAGCCGACCUGAGAGGGUGAUCGGCCACACUGGAACUGAGACACGGUCCAGACGCCUACGGGAGGCAGCAGUAGGGAAUCUUCCGCAAUGGGCGAAAGCCUGACGGAGCAACGCCGCGUGAGUGAUGAAGGUCUUCGGAUCGUAAAACUCUGUUAUUAGGGAAGAACAAAUGUGUAAGUAACUAUGCACGUCUUGACGGUACCUAAUCAGAAAGCCACGGCUAACUACGUG